UUGUCUCAAAGAUUAAGCCAUGCAUGUCUAAGUACAAACCAAAUUAAGGUGAAACCGCGAAAGGCUCAUUAAAUCAGUUAUGGUUCCUUAGAUCGUACCCACAUUUACUUGGAUAACUGUGGUAAUUCUAGAGCUAAUACAUGCUAAGCGAGCCCCGACCUCACAGGGAAGGGGUGCUUUUAUUAGAUCAGAACCAAUCGGCACGCUCCUCCGGGGGUGUGCCGCAAACACUGGUGAAUCUGAAUAACUUUUGCUGAUCGCACGGCCUCGCGCCGGCGACGCAUCUUUCAAAUGUCUGCCUUAUCAACUUUCGAUGGUAGGUUCUGCGCCUACCAUGGUUGUAACGGGUAACGGGGAAUCAGGGUUCGAUUCCGGAGAGGGAGCCUGAGAAACGGCUACCACAUCCAAGGAAGGCAGCAGGCGCGCAAAUUACCCACUCCCGGCACGGGGAGGUAGUGACGAAAAAUAACGAUACGGGACUCAUCCGAGGCCCCGUAAUCGGAAUGAGUACACUUUAAAUCCUUCAACGAGGAUCAAUUGGAGGGCAAGUCUGGUGCCAGCAGCCGCGGUAAUUCCAGCUCCAAUAGCGUAUAUUAAAGUUGUUGCGGUUAAAAAGCUCGUAGUUGAAUUUGUGUCCCGCGCCGCCGGUACGCCGCUCGCGGCGCUAACUGGCGUGCGGUGGGACGUCCAGCCGGUGGACCGUGACCGGGUGCAGUGCGGGUCGUGCGUAACGGGUGGGUGUCGCUACCGGCAUGUUGGUAUCUCGCGCAGAUGCGUGUAUCGCGGGCGCGCCUUGCGGCGUGAUCUGCGGCACCAUCUCGUGCGGGUGCUGCUGCCGCGUCCAGCGCCCUACUGCUGUGCGCCGGCCGGCUGCCCGCCAGGGCGGUCCGACGUCCGUCCGUGGGUGAGGCCGCGAGGUCCGCUCCGAGACGGAAAUCCUGCCGCGGUGCUCUUAACCGAGUGUCGAGGUGGGCCGGCACGUUUACUUUGAACAAAUUGGAGUGCUCAAAGCAGGCCAAAUAUACGCCUGAACACUGUGCGCAUGGAAUAAUAGAAUAGGACCUCGGUUCUAUUUUGUUGGUUCUCGGAAUACCGAGGUAAUGAUUAAUAGGGACAGAUGGGGGCAUUCGUAUUGCGACGUUAGAGGUGAAAUUCUUGGAUCGUCGCAAGACGCACUAAAGCGAAAGCAUUUGCCAAAAAUGUUUUCAUUAAUCAAGAACGAAAGUUAGAGGUUCGAAGGCGAUCAGAUACCGCCCUAGUUCUAACCAUAAACUAUGCCAGCUAGCGAUCCGCCGACGUUACUUAUAUGACUCGGCGGGCAGCUUCCGGGAAACCAAAGCUUUUGGGUUCCGGGGGAAGUAUGGUUGCAAAGCUGAAACUUAAAGGAAUUGACGGAAGGGCACCACCAGGAGUGGAGCCUGCGGCUUAAUUUGACUCAACACGGGAAACCUCACCAGGCCCGGACACCGGAAGGAUUGACAGAUUGAGAGCUCUUUCUUGAUUCGGUGGGUGGUGGUGCAUGGCCGUUCUUAGUUGGUGGAGUGAUUUGUCUGGUUAAUUCCGAUAACGAACGAGACUCUAGCCUGCUAACUAGGCGUUUGAGAAUUCAAUCCGGUAUCUAUGAGGUGCGUGCACGCGAUCAGCUAUGGGCUGAGAGAGCGCCGUCGGUGGCAUGGACCGUUGUGUGGAUGCGCGUUGGUCGUGUCCGGGUGGGCGUUUAGUCCCCGGGGUCAAGUGGUUGCCUUCACGGGCUCCAUUCCCGGGUCUGCGCGUUCAUUUCGGUGCGGUCGGCCGUGUCUCGCAGCACCAUGUCAUACCGUGCGGUGUCGCUUUCGGUACCGGCCCGCGUUGCAACCGUACUUUAACUACCGGCGUAAAUCGAUUUCUUCUUAGAGGGACAGGCGGAUUGAAGCCGCACGAGAUUGAGCAAUAACAGGUCUGUGAUGCCCUUAGAUGUUUUGGGCCGCACGCGCGCUACACUGAAGGAAUCAGCGUGUUUUUUCCCUGGCUGAAAGGCUCGGGUAACCCGCUGAACCUCCUUCGUGCUAGGGAUCGGGGAUUGCAAUUAUUCCCCGUGAACGAGGAAUUCCCAGUAAGCGCGAGUCAUAAGCUCGCGUUGAUUAAGUCCCUGCCCUUUGUACACACCGCCCGUCGCUACUACCGAUUGAAUGAUUUAGUGAGGUCUUCGGACCGGUGCGCGGUGACGUUUCGGCGUAACCGAUGUUGCUGGGAAGAUGACCAAACUUGAUCAUUU
rnacentral:rRNA from 1 species